GCGGGCCAGCUCCUCUCAAAUGAAUCAGCUUGCCAGUGUUUGGUGGCAUCGCAGGUGUGAUAACUAUCUACGCUUGUGGUGUCCUGCCAGGCAACCUUCAGUGAUGGAGGUUCACUGGAGCUCAUAAAUGUCUCUCCUCAGCGAGGACAGCCUUUUGAAUGUUUGAUCUCAAAUCAGGUAGGACUACCCGCUGAACUUAA
rnacentral:misc_RNA from 1 species